rnacentral:rRNA from 1 species
ACUAACCAGGAUUCCCCUAGUAACGGCGAGUGAACAGGGAUUAGCCCAGCACCGAAGUCUGCGUCCGUUUGGGCGUUAGACAAUGUGGUGUUUAGGUUGGUGUUUUCGAAUGUUGCUCUGUUUAAAGUCCAUUCUUGAAUAUGGCUAAUAGUUUGGCCCAGAGAGGGUGAAAGGCCCGUGUGGACAGAGCGAUGUUUGACUGUGCUAACCAUGGAGUCGGGUUGUUUGAGAAUGCAGCCCAAAGUUGGUGGUAAACUCCAUCUAAGGCUAAAUACUGGCACGAGUCCGAUAGCGAACAAGUACCGUGAGGGAAAGUUGAAAAGUACUCUGAAGAGAGAGUUAACAGUGCGUGAAACCGCUUAGAAGCAAACGGGUGUAGUCAAGCUGCAAGCCUUAAGAAAUAGGUUGGUCAGAAUGGCGUGAGUCUGAGCAUACAGAGCUGCCAGGUAGGUCCGACUAUAUGUCGGGUUCGGCUCGCAAGAGUCGGAUUUGUGGAGCGUUUACGCGCUGCAUGCCUGCUUGUCAGUUGCUCUACUGGCCCUCUCAAUUUCUUUUGGCGUAUGUCACGACCGUCUUCGCUGUCGGUCUGCUCCAUUUAAACCGUUUCGUGAGUAGUUUCGUGCUGCUUGCGUUCUGGGGGCAGGUAGCUGAUCUAGUCUCGGCUGGAUUGGUGUAAUUGCUGAGUGGAGUGGUACCUGUAACUGUGCAGUAAGAUGGGGCUGGCGGUGCAUUGUUGCCGGGCGUGCGUGUGUUGUCGUGGUUGGCGUAUGGCUAUCUGUUGCUGUUAAUAACGGCCUGGUGGUUGCCCGACUGCGGUGUCAUUCGUUACGUUUGGUCAAUCUUUGCGUUGUGCCUAUAGUCUGU